AGGCCGCGCUCGCCCCUCGGUCCCGGGGGCCUUGGGGACCGCCCCGGGGGCGUCAGGGUCGGGACACUGGAGUGGCGGCGCCUCCCCGUGGUGUCCUCGCGCCUCUCCCGGGCCUGAGUCCUUUUUGGGAUUCCGGGUCUGGCACCUCGGGGACGCUCAGUCCAGCAGGCCACCUAUGCCAGGUCAGACUUCUCCAAGGGCAGAAAGGGAUAAGGGACCUUCGAGAUACCCCGGGACAGAUGCAGGCCAACCAAGCCAUAGGUCACCCGCCACAUCAGACUGCCUUUGCCCACACCUACUGUGAGGGAUUUAGGAACAGAACCGUCACUAGCCUCCCCCAUAAAGAGUUGACUAUGGUCGGUCAUCUGAGCCCAGCCCAGCGAGGCAGGAGUAUGAAAGGGCUCAAGGCAACCUUUGUCUUUCCAGGACAAGCAAGGAGGUGCAGGGAGCACUGGAGCUGGAGAAUGCCUGGAGGAGGGAAAGCCCAUAAGGCCAAUGUCGUUGACCAGAGGAGGGGCUGAAGGCAGAGUAGACAGGAUGGGGUCGGAGGCAGGCAGAGAUCAGAUCUUGUGAGGUCUCAUAGGUCACUGUGAGGAGUGCAGAUUUCAUUUCAUGGACCAUAGAAAGCCAGGGAAGGGUUUGAAGACGGGCAAUGACCUGAUCUGACCUAUGUUUUUAAUAGACCUUUCUGGCUUGCGGGGAAGAACAGACCAAGGGAGCCCAGGUGGGAGGGUGGUGUGGAAUAAUGGAGUGGCAGUGGGAGUGGAGAGAAGUGGUCAGAUUUGGGAUAUAUUCUGGAAGACGGGCAGACAGGAAUUGCUGAGGGGGAGGAAGAUUCAAAGGCCAUGCGGUGACUGCUGAGGAGUCAGUUCAUGCCCUGAGCAGUGGAGGCUUCCAAGACCAGAAUCAUUGACCCUCCUUUUGGCUGAGCUGGACACAACUUGGAGACCUUCUUGUCUCCCUGGGAUGUUACACCCAUGGAGCCCCAGCCCAGGAGGAUGAGGAAACAUGCCCGUGUCCUGGGCAAAAGCAGAGGUCUCCUAGCUCCCGGUCCAGAACUGGCCUGACCAUGGGCUUUCAUUUAUUUCUUGGGCAAACCAGUGCAAACCUGAAUCAAGGAAACCUCGUUUGAAAUGGAGUCAGGAGGCCAGAAGGGGAAGCUCUCACCCUCUACCACUCCUCAUCUAAUCAAUAGGAAGAGGCAAUACCUUGCAUUCCCCCCAGAAAGAAGCCUGGAUGUUCCUUCCCGGCAUGAGGAAGGAAGAUUUUCUCCUUGCCUGGCAACAGCCUAGCCAAUGAGAGACUGUCACAGCUCAGCCGAUGAAAAGCCACUACACUUAGAACUCCCAGUUUCCUACAGUGGAAUUUUUGUUUAUAACAGCCCUUCCCAACUCCCUGCCUCUAUAAAACGUUCUUCUUUGUUCUCUGGACUUCCCUAUGGUUUUGCCAUAGCUUGAGUGUCCUGAGUUGCAAUUCUCUGCUCUUCCUGAAUAAACCUAUUUUGCUGGUAAAAUAACUGACAGUUUUAUUUGU